CAGGAACUAUGCACAAAUGGAAGUCAUCAGCUUGGUAACCACUAGUGCCUCAGGAACAUGAAUCGUCAAUGCAUAUGCUAGAAAGAGGCUCAUGGCAUUCUGUGAAGCCAGAACAAGUAGCCCUGCUUAGCCACACCCAGUAAUGCAUAGAGAUCACUCAGUGCUGCUUUGCAUUCAGCAAUCACUCUGGCUGAGCCUGGAGGAUUGUAUAGGGGUUUUGG